rnacentral:rRNA from 1 species
CCUGGCUCAGGUCGAACGCUAGCGGCAGGCUUAAUACAUGCAAGUCGAACGAACCCUUCGGGGUUAGUGGCGCACGGGUGCGUAACACGUAUGCAACCUGGCUUUGGGCGCGGGACAACGUCUGGAAACGGGCGCUAAUACCGCAUAACGCCUUUAUAUCACAUGGUAUGGAGGUUAAAGGGGCGACCCGCCUGAAGAUGGGCAUGCGUCUGAUUAGCUAGUUGGCAGGGUAACGGCCUACCAAGGCAAUGAUCAGUAGCUGGUCUGAGAGGAUGACCAGCCACACUGGCACUGAGACACGGGCCAGACUCCUACGGGAGGCAGCAGUAAGGAAUAUUGGGCAAUGGGCGAAAGCCUGACCCAGCCAUGCCGCGUGAGGGAAGACGGUUCUAGGAUUGUAAACCUCUUUUCUCCGGGACUAAGGCCUCAGUCGCUGGGGUUUGCAGGUACCGGAGGAAUAAGCGCCGGCAAACUACGUGCCAGCAGCCGCGGUAAUACGUAGGGCGCAAGCGUUGUCCGGAUUUACUGGGUUUAAAGGGUGCGUAGGCGGACUUUUAAGUCGGUGAUGAAAUGCUCGGGCUCAACUCGCAGCGCUGUUACCGAUACUGAAAGUCUUGAGACUGCGCGAGGCGGCUGGAAUGAAUGGUGUAGCGGUGAAAUGCGUAGAGAUCAUUCAGAACACCGAUUGCGAAGGCAGGUCGCCAGAGCAGGUCUGACGCUGAGGCACGAAAGCGCGGGGAGCGAACACGAUUAGAUACCCUGGUAGUCCGCGCCGUAAACGAUGGAUACUCGACGUUCUUUUUUCGGAGAGGGCGUCCAAGCAAACGCGAUAAGUAUC